rnacentral:rRNA from 1 species
AAAGUUGCAAAGCACUUUGAAGAGAGAGUUAAAGAGGACGUGAAACCGGUGAGAUGGAAACGGAUGGAGUCAGCGUAUCUGGCUUGCAUUCAGCUGUUGAGCCUGUAUCGCCAGGCCCGCGGCAUCCAGAUUGGUGUCGUGGUCUGCUCGGUGCGGGUUUGAUGGUGCAUUUGCAGGUGGAGUGCGCCGAGGCACUCGGGGCAGCGGCAUGAGCUCGGUUUUGAGGCCAGCCCGCAAGGGUCUGGUACCCGGACUGGGGGAGUGUUGUUUGCUCUGGGCGUGUCUGUAAGGGCAUGGCUUACGGGCUCGGUUGGUCGCCGAGCUGGCAGCCGGUUACGGUCGCAUGCGACACGUGCCAGAGGUCAGUUCGGUCCUAGUCGAGCUCUCAUGUCCGUCCUCGGUGUAAAAGCUGGUCAUCCAUCCGACCCGUCUUGAAACACGGACCAAGGAGUUUAUCGUGUACGCGAGUCAUUGGGCGUUGAAAACCCAAAGGCGAAAUGAAAGUGAAGGUGUCCGCAAGGAGCUGACGUGCGAUCCUGUUUGCCUCGGCAUGCAGGCGCAGCAUGGCCCUAUCCCGACUGCUUGCAGUGGGGUAGCGGUAGAGCGUACGCGGUGAGACCCGAAAGAUGGUGAACUAUUCCUGAGCAGGAUGAAGCCAGAGGAAACUCUGGUGGAAGUCCGAAGCGAUUCUGACGUGCAAAUCGAUCGUCUGACUUGGGUAUAGGGGCGAAAGACUAAUCGAACCAUCUAGUA